rnacentral:rRNA from 1 species
AGAGAUUGAUCCUGGCUCAGGAUGAACGCUGGCGGCGUGCUUAACACAUGCAAGUCGAACGAAGCACUCUAUUUGAUUUCCUUCGGGAUUGAUUAUUUUGUGACUGAGUGGCGGACGGGUGAGUAACGCGUGGGUAACCUGCCUUGUACAGGGGGAUAACAGUUGGAAACGGCUGCUAAUACCGCAUAAGCGCACAGUACCGCAUGGUAUAGUGUGAAAAACUCCGGUGGUAUAAGAUGGACCCGCGUUUGAUUAGCUAGUUGGUGGGGUAACGGCCUACCAAGGCGACGAUCAAUAGCCGACCUGAGAGGGUGACCGGCCACAUUGGGACUGAGACACGGCCCAAACUCCUACGGGAGGCAGCAGUGGGGAAUAUUGCACAAUGGGCGAAAGCCUGAUGCAGCGACGCCGCGUGAGCGAAGAAGUAUUUCGGUAUGUAAGCUCUAUCAGCAGGGAAGAAAAGGACUGUACCUUACAAGAAAGCUCCGGCUAACUACGUGCCAGCAGCCGCGGUAAUACGUAGGGAGCGAGCGUUGUCCGGAAUGACUGGGUGUAAAGGGAGCGUAGGCGGGAUGGCAAGUCAGAUGUGAAACCUGAGGGCUCAACCUUCAGACUGCAUUUGAAACUGCUGUUCUUGAGUGAAGUAGAGGUAAGCGGAAUUCCUGGUGUAGCGGUGAAAUGCGUAGAGAUCAGGAGGAACAUCGGUGGCGAAGGCGGCUUACUGGGCUUUUACUGACGCUGAGGCUCGAAAGCGUGGGGAGCAAACAGGAUUAGAUACCCUGGUAGUCCACGCUGUAAACGAUGAUUACUAGGUGUGGGGGGAUUGACCCCUUCCGUGCCGCAGUUAACACAAUAAGUAAUCCACCUGGGGAGUACGACCGCAAGGUUGAAGCUCAAAGGAAUUGACGGGGGCCCGCACAAGCAGUGGAGUAUGUGGUUUAAUUCGAAGCAACGCGAAGAACCUUACCAGGUCUUGACAUCGAGUGACGUAUCCAGAGAUGGAUAUUUCCUUCGGGACACAAAGACAGGUGGUGCAUGGUUGUCGUCAGCUCGUGUCGUGAGUUGUUGGGUUAAGUCCCGCAACGAGCGCAACCCUUAUCAUUAGUUGCUACGCAAGAGCACUCUAAUGAGACUGCCGUUGACAAAACGGAGGAAGGUGGGGAUGACGUCAAAUCAUCAUGCCCCUUAUGACCUGGGCUACACACGUACUACAAUGGCGAUCGAACAGAGGGAAGCAAGACAGCGAUGUGGAGCCAAUCCCAAAAAGAUCACCCCAGUUCAGAUUGCAGGCUGCAACUCGCCUGCAUGAAGUCGGAAUUGCUAGUAAUCGCAGAUCAGCAUGCUGCGGUGAAUACGUU